rnacentral:rRNA from 1 species
UACAGAGGUCCCAAGCGUUGUUCGGAUUCAUUGGGCGUAAAGGGUGCGUAGGCGGCGCGGUAAGUCGGGUGUGAAAUCUCGGAGCUUAACUCCGAAACUGCAUUCGAUACUGCCGUGCUUGAGGACUGGAGAGGAGACUGGAAUUUACGGUGUAGCGGUGAAAUGCGUAGAUAUCUGGAGGAAUACCGGUGGCGAAGGCGGCAUCCUGGACCAACACUGACACUGAGGAGCGAAAGCCAGGGGAGCAAACGGG